AGCUCGCGGUCCCGGGGGCACCGGGCAAGACUGGGACGGGGGGGGGGGGGCCGAGAUGGCUCCGUGCCGGGGCGCGUCCCCACACACGCGCUAGGGCCCACCCCGGGAGGAACCGGUGCAACCGGAGGGGCCGGCCGGGCGGGGGAGGAGACGCGAAGCCGCCGGGUCUCGGCGCGUCCCCAUCCCGCGGUGCUGGCAGCGCCCCCAGCCGGGCCCUGGUUCUUGGGCACCCGCAGCGGCUGCCUGGAACCAAACCUCAUGUAGUGCACACUCCUGACCUCUGUAUGAGCCUUCGUCUGCUAUAGACAAAGACUUGUCAGGCCUCCAAAGACUUCACUGUUCAUACACACUUCUAUCUUGUAAGGAAAAAGAAGCAGAUAUGCUGGAAGUCCUGGGUUGUAGACCAGAAGGAAAAGCCAUUGGAGAUGUUUGGACACUUUGUGGGACUGGGAGGCAGUGUUAUGCUUGGAUUAACUCUGUUUGUACUUAACAUUAAUGAAAGCAGCUCCAAACAUUCUUGAAGUGUAACCUUACCAUAAUUCAUGGUACUUCUGUCCCUGAGCAAGUGUUCCAUACAUGGUUCCCAUAGCUAUUUUAUUAGUGCAUACCCUGAGGGAAAUAAAGACAUGUUUGUGAGCAUUUGGGACUAGAUUUGUGCUUUAUGGCUGAGUCUACAUGAGACACUGAUUAUGCAGUCGUUACUGCACAGUCAUUUAGUACUUGUAUAAACCUGAGUUACUGUGCAGUAGCAUCAACAAAUAGCUUUUUUGUGACGCUAACUGUGCAGUAGCCUGAGACUGCUAUGCUGUAGCGUUGCAUCACGCUUUCUGCCACACAAUGCUACUGUGCAAUAGUCUUGGGCUACUGCGCAGUUAGCAUCUCAUGUAGACGUGGUCUAUGUAAUGUAUUUUAAAUUAUGAUUAGCAAGUAAUCUCUUUCCUGUUAAAAUACCAUGGCUCUUAAUGGAUUUGCUAUGUAUAUAUGCUUUCCUGUCAUGGUUGUUUCUGGAGUACUGUCAUUAAAAUGACCCAACUACCUGGGCACGUCUAAUUAUGGAAAUACUCCAGGGUGGAUUUACUUUAGAGUAAUUUCAUAGAUUCAUAGAUGGUAGGGUCAGAAGGGACCUCAGCAGAUCAUCGAGUCCAACCCCCUGCCUAGGCAGGAAAGAGUGUUGGGGUCAGAUGACCCUAGCCAGAUGCCUAUUCAGCCUUCUCUUAAAGACCCCCAAGGUAGGGGAGAGCACCACCUCUCUUGGAAGCCCAUUCCAAAUUUCCUCUAGGGUAAAUCCAUCCCGGGCAGGCAUCUACAUAUACGGGGACAUGGGAGCAGAUUUGUUGUUCAUGGCAGCAGUGUGCUCCCACCCCCACUGGCCCUACACUGACUCUCUGCAGCAGCCAGGGAAAGCUCUAGACUCCUCCUGGGUGCUAGUCCAGGGGCUGGGAGGGAGCAUGGAGCCAGGUGACAGCUGUCUCCUGGAAGGGACUGGGACAUUACUCCACCACCAGAGCCCAGUGGGGCAGGCUUCACCACCAGAGCCCGGGUGGGGACAAUGUCCAUCUGCCUUGGCAGGAGGAAGCUCCCAGCCCUCACUCUGUGACCAUGGGGCCCAGGCUGAGAGAUUCUUAUUAGCCUGGGCCCUGCAACCCAGGGGGAUAAGAAUCUCUUAGCCCCCACUUCCUGAUUGCGAUUGCAAAGCCGGGGCUGGGAGCUCCCUGCUGCUGGGGUAUGGGGGCAUUGUCCCUGCCCAGGCUUUGAUGACAAGGGAGGUGGUGAUGUAUGGACACCUGACUGAGCAGCAGGGGUCCCAGAUAAAGCAUUUCAAUCAGCUUGUGUCCUGUGUCAGGAAUGCCCUGUGGCAAUGCAGGAACUUCCUGUUAUACAGGCACGCUGAGCUCAAGGAAGCAGACUGUUAAAAUGUUUCUGAGCGAACUUCAGUCCUACCACUGGAAAUCAGCGAGUGAGAAUGGAGAAGACGUAGCCAACUUCAUCUGGAAAAGCAACACGUGGCACAGGUUGUUCAAAGACCCUCCAGGAGUGGAAGUGGACAGAGAGAACGACAGCGGGGAGGGGAAGAGGACAGAGAUGCAACUGGACCUGGAGACAGCAAGAUGGACUACAACAGGAUCAGCAGCAGUGGAAGUGACAGCGACAUGAACAGUGACAGCGACAAGCACAGUGAAUGAACUGAGACUGUAAACCCCAAGUCAGGGUUUGGACUAAAGGACUGCAAUUGGGGUAGGUGAGGGUGGAGGGUGGGUGCGCAGAGGUGCAGGGAGGGGAGUGGGUGCAUUUAGUGUAACAGGAAGCACAGGUUUCUUAAUGCGGUUUUAAGAUGUGUGAUGGAAAGUUUAUGAUAGAGGAUGUAUAUAACUCUCUCUCUCUAGAAAUAUAUUUUAAUUAAAAAAAAAAAAAAAGCUGGAAGCUCCCACCCUUUGAUGCCCAGUUGACUGGGAGCACAUUUGCUCCUGGUCAGCCAUCUGAGUAAAGCAUCUCAUGUAGACAUCCCCCUGAGGCUCAAAGUAAUGUUUUAGUUCUAAGAGUAUUAAUUCCUUUGCCAAACUAAAUCAGUCACUGAGAGAGAAGAAAUUUACUUACACAAGACUUCAAGUGGAGGGUAGGGUUGUUGCCACAAUUGCCUUCUGCUCCUUGAAUUUUUCCAUAAAAUCUAUAAGCCCAAAUGGCAUAAAACCUGGAAAUGCUCUGUUAUGUAUGUUACGCAAAGUAGAUUUUGGUAUCAAAAAAAUGUCCUGCCUUGGAUUAAACCACUAGUGCAAUAAGAA